AUUGAAGUGGCAGAAGUAGUUAAUGCAUUAGAGUUAAGAUCUAAAGAUAGAGAGUUUUUCUCUUCAAUA
rnacentral:tRNA from 1 species